ACGAAUUAAUCAACGGGUAAAUCUCGAGCUUCCAUUUUACCAUUUAGUCUAGCUGUGUCUUUCUCUACGGGUGUACGAGCUCUUACCAAACUAAGAACUCAAGUUUCGCUUCUCCUCAAAACUAACGGCGGUAGCAGCACCAUCUUUGUCGCUUAGAGUGCUGCCUAACGGAUAGAUCUGAAGAGAUAGACAAAGAGUUUUUGCCCUCUCCUUUAACCGCCUUAAUAUCGCCCCCUCCUUAACUUUGCCGCCAGCUUACGUAAGCGUGCGAAAUGAUGGCAAUGCCCCCUUGAUCAACUAGUGGCGACGGCACAACUGCGUCUCUAGUGUUAGGAUACAUACAUUGCAGUGAUCGCUGCCUGAGUGUCCACGUUGAGUUGACUGAAAGUGUCAUCGAUCUUUUCGAUCCUUUCCGCAAAGAGCCAUCAUGAAAUCCAUCUUUAGUUUUUUGGUGUUUUUCGUCACCAUCGCAGGCGUUUAUCCAGUCAGUAAAGGUACUGUCCAGAUUAUACGAC